CAAAAACCAAUUCAAUUAUACGUCGAAAGGGCUACUGAGAUCUGCAAACAAUCGAUGAAGUCAAUCCAAUUGAUUUAUGUGCACAUAUAGGGGCCAGACCUUUGCAGGCUUUAAUAAAGUACUAGAUUCAAUUAUAUAAGGCCAUAAGAAUAACCUGCAGGAGAGUGUCACAAUGGAUUUACCAAGCACAACCACAAAGACAAUGGCAAAAAACACAGCCAACGAUCCGAAAAAGAAGAAGAGUCCCACAAUACUUUUCAUAAUUAUCGGAAUCAUUAUGUUAAUAUUAUUCUUAUGCUGUUGCUGUGUUAUCAUGAUACUCUGUUGUCCCUGCUUAGCCAUUUUGGGUUGUUGUGCUGUCUGUUGUUCCGAUGAGAAUGUCGACGAUUAAAUCAGCCUGAGCCUCAGAGGCUGCAACACGUUCGGGCGCCGAUUCAAAAAACAGAAAAACAGCAAGAAGUCUGGCCACACUGCACAUGGGCCAAAUCGUA
rnacentral:sRNA from 1 species